rnacentral:rRNA from 1 species
ACUUAAGCAUAUCAAUAAGCGGAGGAAAAGAAACCAACAGGGAUUGCCCUAGUAACGGCGAGUGAAGCGGCAACAGCUCAAAUUUGAAAUCUGGCGUCUUUGGCGUCCGAGUUGUAAUUUGCAGAGGGCGCUUUGGCAUUGGCAGCGGUCCAAGUUCCUUGGAACAGGACGUCACAGAGGGUGAGAAUCCCGUACGUGGUCGCUAGCCUUUACCGUGUAAAGCCCCUUCGACGAGUCGAGUUGUUUGGGAAUGCAGCUCUAAAUGGGAGGUAAAUUUCUUCUAAAGCUAAAUACUGGCCAGAGACCGAUAGCGCACAAGUAGAGUGAUCGAAAGAUGAAAAGCACUUUGGAAAGAGAGUUAAAAAGCACGUGAAAUUGUUGAAAGGGAAGCGCUUGCAGCCAGACUUGCCUGUAGUUGCUCAUCCGGGUUUUUACCCGGUGCACUCUUCUAUAGGCAGGCCAGCAUCAGUUUGGGCGGUUGGAUAAAGGUCUCUGUCAUGUACCUCUCUUCGGGGAGAUCUUAUAGGGGAGACGACAUGCAACCAGCCUGGACUGAGGUCCGCGCAUCUGCUAGGAUGCUGGCGUAAUGGCUGUAAGCGGCCCGUCUUGAAACACGGACCAAGGAGUCUAACAUCUAUGCGAGUGUUUGGGUGUCAAGCCCGAGCGCGUAAUGAAAGUGAACGGAGGUGGGAACCUUUCGGGGUGCACCAUCGACCGAUCCUGAUGUCUUCGGAUGGAUUUGAGUAAGAGCAUAGCUGUUGGGACCCGAAAGAUGGUGAACUAUGCUUGAAUAGGGUGAAGCCAGAGGAAACUCUGGUGGAGGCUCGCAGCGGUUCUGACGUGCAAAUCGAUCGUCAAAUUUGGGCAUAGGGGCGAAAGACUAAUCGAACUAUCUAGUAGCUGGGUUCCUGCCGAAGUUCCC